GCAGACACAUCCCAGCCAAUCAGCAGCAGACCCUCCCUCCCAGACCCUCCCACCUCCUGGACAGCAUCCAUUGUGAAGCUGCAUUCUUAGUGAGCUGUCCAGGAGGUGGGAGGGUCUGGGAGGGAGGGUCUGCUGCUGAUUGGCUGGAAUGUGUUUG